UCCACAGCUGCUUCUACCCCUACCUCUGAGACUCUGUUAUUACUACUGAACAGGACCAGACAUCUCUUGGGAGGACUAUAAAGAGCCAGCAUUUUACAGUAGACAGGCACUGCCCUUUGACUAUGUGAGAGAUAUUUAUGUUCAUUUAAAUAAUCUAGAUAGAUUUCUUACUAUCUUUCUCGACAUAUCAUAAUAAGUUCAAGUGAAUCAUAGAGGUAAAGGUGUAUCGCUAAAACUUCAACCUCACUGUUAAACCAAUUGUUCUUUUGUUGAUUGGAUACUAUAUCACAUUUCUCACAUAAACAUGUGGUAGAAGGAAAGAAUACUCCAUUGUGUAAUGCUAUAUAUAGACACAACAUGAGGACAAUUUUGUGUGUACGUUUAUUUUUAGCAUUGAAAUCACAUAAUGCCAGUGCUAAAUGUCAGUAGCAUCCAUGUUUGGAUCACAGCUUCCUUUGAAUUGAAUGUGCUUCAUAGACAACAACCUUCACCUUAGGCUUUGCUGGACAACAAAGAACUUUCCAGGGCUGUUUUUCUUCUGCUUUCCCCUCGCGCUUUCUCUUCCACUGAAGUAGCAGGACUGCCAAGACUCAGCCCCACUGCCUCUUAUCCCUCUCUCAUUUUUCAUUUUUAUUUAAAUAUAGACUUCAUUCUUCCUGCAGCUGCUCCCACAGUUUUCCCACAGCUAGAAGAGCAGCAGAAAGGCUGUCCUCUAAACCCGAGGCAGGAUUAUUCAGGCUGGGUGCACACUGUCUCCGCCCUCUUACCCACACAAACAAACAAAACCACCUCUCCUGGAAUAGAUCAGCACAUCAUGCAUAACCACUGUAACUGCAUUAGGGUAAUUUCUAAUUCAGUCUAGAUCAUCCUCUGGGUUUACUUAAGUGUAGCAGAGGAAUAGACAAAUGAUAAGCUUGAAGAGCACAAUAUGUAUGCUUGCAUUUCUUUUUGGUAUCAGAAUUAAACAUCAGAUUAUCAGAUUAUCUGACUGUAUUUGAAUCUGUAUGUGCAGUUUUGUAGAAUUAAAUGAAAUUGUAUUCAACAGCUUGAAUAAAUGUGCAAGGUUUCAAAUUCAAUUCUUAUACUUUAUAAUCAGGUAAAAAAAAAAACAUGUUCAGUGGCACAAUCAAUUUCAAAUUCAGUUCUUUAAAUUGAGAUUCAAAUGUUCAAAACUCUACAUUUUGAAGACUUUUUGAAAGGAGAAAAGUUCCACCACCAACCACCAUUUGUCUAUACCAUUUUAGCCAAAGGUUCUUGACAAGGUGUUCAAGUACUGUAGAUUUCAUCAACAAACCUUUACAUACAGAUUUAAAAACAAGACCAUACAUUUUCAGAUUUGAUUGUUUUUUCAUUGUAAUCAACUUGUUUUCCAGAGUGUAUAUAUAUAUAUAUAUGUAGAGGUAUUUAUUGUUAAUGAAGUUUUGAACACAGAAAGAAUUGGAGCUUUAACUAUUUAAUUAUUAAUAACUUUAACAUUUACUUAUUGUGUCAUGGUGUGGAUAAUAACCGAGGUGAUGUGAAGCUCAAAACGAAACUAAAACAGUUGAACUGAUGACUUCCUGUGCAGUUUUGCAUGUUAGAAAAACAGUUACUGUAGGUCAUGGCAGGUCAGCAGAUCUCACUGAUCUUCAUGUAUGUAUCUCUCAGCUAUUCUGUUUGUAUAUGAAGUAUAGGCCAUUAUAGGCCAAGUACAUUAUUCUUAUGUCCUGUCAAUAUGACAUGAUUGAUUUAGUUGUUUACACAAUUCUGUCAUCUGUUGUGUCUCCUUUGGUUUACAGACAUUGGCAACUAAUAUAUCCAAUAAUUAUGAAAAGUAUUUAAUUUCCAGAGCUCCUCCUAAACAAACAAGAACCAACCAGAUUUUCUUGUUCGAGUGCCUAGAUGGUGCUGGUGAGCACUGAGAGCUGUAGGAAUACUACAAAGCAGCAGACCUAACAGUUUCAGCUCACAUUCAGGGCUGACAGGUAAGAAGAGUGCUCACAGCUCACAAGUUAUCAUCAGGCAUGACAGGAAUUAAUCAUCAUGACUACACUGAACCCUGAUUUUUAGGACAUCAAGUCUUUCUAACUGCUGUGGAUCUUUACUUCUUACAGAAAAGACACAAUCUCAGAAGCUGGACAUAUUAAGACAUCCUGAGGUAGAUGGCAACCAUCCAAAAUACACACACACACACACACACACACACACACACACACACACACACACACACACACACACACACACACACACACAGAGAGAGAGAGAGAGAGAGAGAGAGAGAGAGAGAGAGAGAGAGAGAGAGAGAGAGAGAGAGAGAGAGAGAGAAGCUUAUGUCUUGUCAUCCUGUAAGUUAUCCAUUUUCCCUCUCUACUGCUUUACUCCAGCGCCACACAGUGGAAGUUAUUGGGAAUGUCAUAACAUUUGUGGUUUGUCAGAGCUUCAUAAAUAAUCACUAUUUAUUUGUAAAAAAUACUUUUUUUUUUCCAAAUUCCUAUGAAUACAUCAAUGUUCAAAUGUUUAAGGUGUAAUGUUAGUGUUAGUUUUGAAUCCCAGUACCUUUACACCACCCACAAUUUCUCAUACGUCAGAAGUUUAAAUGAAUAGCAUUGUGUUGGAAAUUUACAGGAAAUGUUCAUAACACCUACAUUAAUUACAUUUGCCACUUUUGAGCUUAUAUAUAAAUGUCAUACCAACUGACUGUAUCUUAGUGUAUUUCUGUAUGUCAUAGUCACAUCGUGGCUCACAUACAUUCAUGGUGAAUUUUCUGACAGUAAACUGUAUAUGAAGACAUUCAUAUAAUCAGAGGAAUAUCAUCGCUGAGUUAGUUGCAUAUUCUCAGGCUCUUUAGCAAAGAAAGCAUCUGUUAUUAACUGUAUAAUAUGCUUAUGUGACAAAACUAUUUUUAUACAUUAAUUCUCCAAGAUACUAAAUUAAUUCAUAAUAAUAACUGACCUGUGUAACACAUUGGAAAAAUACAUCAUUAUAUAAAACAAAAUCACUUUAAAAACAACAAUAUCGACAACAGCAACAAGCUACGAGUUAUAAGAUAGCCAAGAAGCUACGGUGUGAGUAUGAUUGUCUUGAUGUUCUCAUGUGAAGUUGUGACAAAUACUGAUGUCACUUGACUCAGAUAUUAUCUCAUGUUGAGCUUAUGCUAGUUUAAGUAAGCCUUUAU